GAUGAAGAACGCAGCGAAAUGCGAUAAGUAAUGUGAAUCGCAGAAUUCAGUGAAUCAUCGAAUCUUUGAACGCACCUUGCACUCCUUGGUAUUCCGAGGAGUACGCCUGUUCGAGUGUUAUGAAGCUCUCAAAACGCAAUUGGCUUAAAACCUGAUUGUUGUUUUGGAUUUGAACUUUGCCGUGUUAUAACGGCUGGUUUUAAAAGUAUUAGCUGGUACUAGAACGAAUUGGUUCUACUCAACGUGAUAAUUAUCUGAUCGUUGAGGACAUUCCUUUCACGAGGAAUGGCCAUAGUAAAUUCAAUGGACUGCUUCUAAUCUGGCUUUAAUUCUUUAUUGGAUUAACCACUUUUCAAAUCUGACCUCGAAUCAGGUGGGACUACCCGCUGAACUUAAGCAUAUCAAUAAGCGGAGGA
rnacentral:misc_RNA from 1 species